GGUGGCUCAGUGGUAGAGCACUUGCCUUCCGUGCAUGAGGCCCUGGGUUUGAAUUCUCCAGCACCA
rnacentral:tRNA from 1 species